rnacentral:snoRNA from 1 species
UCCUUCCAGAUUCCUUAUCCUUCAAACCUAAAUAAUGGUUUGUGUGGAUUAAAAAAUAAAGAGGAAAAGUAAAAUUGAAAUGGACAUUCAAUCUUUAGUGACUUUAGAGAUGAAACAAGUUCAUCUCAAAUGAAC